AGCUCAAUUUGAUAAAUGAGUUUAUCGCUAAUCACCGCUGUAAGUACAGCAGUGGCAAAGCUUAAUGGAGUCAAACUGAAAGCACUGUGAGGACACCUCUUCUAGCUGCUAUACGAUCCAUGUGUGACCCCAAGCAGAAGCUGCCUUAUGUAGGAUUGGUUUAAGAGGAGAGAGGAAAAACCUCAAAGCUCAAAAAACCCUUGGAGUAGGAAAGAGAACCAAUUGAAAUGACUAAGCUCACAUGCAAAUCAAAAACUGGGCCACAGAGGACCACAGAGGACCAUGGAGGUAAAAGGGGUUCUUUUACAUCCCUCCAAUAAGCAUCAGUGGAGAUAAGUGGACACCAUCUAAAGUGGAGGAGGUCGAGAGGGGAAAGAGAGAGAGAAGAGAGAGAUCUAGAGUACUGGCUUUGAAUUAUAUCUUACCUGGGUUAGCUUCAAGGAGUGCCUGAACCUGCGCAUCUCUUGCUGGAGCACACAGCUUUCCCAAAAGAUUUACGAC